rnacentral:tRNA from 1 species
GCGCGCUUAGCUCAGUGGUAGAGCACAUCCUUCACACGGAUGGGGUCGCAGGUUCAAGUCCUGCAGCGCGCACCA